UACGUAGGGGGCUAGCGUUGUCCGGAAUCAUUGGGCGUAAAGCGCGUGUAGGCGGUCCGGUAAGUCCGCUGUGAAAGUCGGGGGCUCAACCCUCGAAUGCCGGUGGAUACUGUCGGGCUCGAGUGCGGGAGAGGCGAGUGGAAUUCCUGGUGUAGCGGUGAAAUGCGCAGAUAUCAGGAGGAACACCGAUUGCGAAGGCAGCUCGCUGGAACGUUACUGACGCUGAGGCGCGAAAGCGUGGGGAGCAAACAGG
rnacentral:rRNA from 1 species